rnacentral:tRNA from 1 species
GGUUUUUUAGUCAAGAAUGAUUUUAAAUUGCAAAUUUAAAGGAGAGUAUAGCUCAUAAACCU